rnacentral:lncRNA from 1 species
GUGGCUCAGCUCAUGCAAACUCCGUAGGAGCAUCUCCAAUGUUGGCAAAACUCAAAGUGUUUAAAUCAUAUGCCCAUUGGCCUGGAAAGCUACCUGAAGAAGUGUGGCCCCAACCUUGGCCUUCGAGAACAGGUUGGCAUAAUCCAAAAUCAUCCCCAAGUUUACUAUCCGAUGGACUGUCAUAAAGUGAUCAACCUCC